UUGUUUAUUUAAAAUAUAAACUCAGACAAUUGAUAAAAUAUAGAGUUGUGGUUCCUUUGGUGAAGACUCACCCGUCUCGACUUAGAUAGUGAUCGAUCUCUUUCGAAAUCAAACAAAAGCAAAAUCUCAACCAGUGGACUUUUGAUGCCUAAACAUCAAAAAGAACGCUUCACCAAAGUAAUAAUAAAGUAACACAAAGGGUGGGAGAUUUCAUGACAAGCAUGAAAAAAUCUCGGUAAUGAUCCUUCCGCAGGUUCACCUACGGAAA
rnacentral:misc_RNA from 1 species